UGAGUAACACGUGAGUGACCUGCCUUUUAGACUGGAACAACUUACCGAAAGGUGAGCUAAUGCCGGAUGAGUUAUAUAAGUGCAUGUUUAUAUAGGAAAAGUUGGGGAGACCUGACGCUGAAAGAUGGACUCGCGUCCCAUUAACUAGUUGGUAGGGUAAUGGCCUACCAAGGCGACGAUGGGUAGCCGGCCUGAGAGGGUGGCCGGCCACACUGGGACUGAGACACGGCCCAGACUCCUACGGGAGGCAGCAG
rnacentral:rRNA from 1 species